rnacentral:rRNA from 1 species
GACGAACCGUCCUAACGUUGUUCGGAUUCACUGGGCUUAAAGGGCGCGUAGGCGGGCCAGAGGGUCCGGGGUGAAAUCUUUCGGCUUAACCGGAAAGUGCCUCGGAAACCGCUGGCCUGGAGGGAGGUAGGGCAUGUGGAACUUCUGGUGGAGCGGUGAAAUGCGUUGAUAUGCACAGGAACUCCGGUGGCGAAGGCGGCGAGCUGGACCCUUCUGACGCUGAGGCGCGAAAGCCAGGGGAGC